GACGAACGCUGGCGGCGUGCCUAAUACAUGCAAGUAGAACGCUGAAGGAGGAGCUUGCUCUUCUGGAUGAGUUGCGAACGGGUGAGUAACGCGUAGGGAACCUGCCUGGUAGCGGGGGGGAACAAUUGGAAACGAUAGCUAAUACCGCAUAAGAGUAGAUGUUGCAUGACAUUUGCUUAAAAGGUGCAAUUUCAUCACUACCAGAUGGACCUGCGUUGUAUUAGCUAGUUGGUGGGGUAACGGCUCACCAAGGCGACGAUACAUAGCCGACCUGAGAGGGGGAUCGGCCACCAUGGGACUGAGACACGGCCCCGAACCCUACGGGAGGGAGCAGUAGGGAAUCUUUGGCAAUGGACGGAAGUCUGAACGGGCCACGCCGCGUGAGUGAAGAAGGUUUUCGGAUCGUAAAGAUCUGUUGUAAGAGAAGAAAGAGUGUGAGAGUGGAAAGUUCACACUGUGACGGUACCUUACCAGAAAGGGACGGCUAACUACGUG
rnacentral:rRNA from 1 species